GCGACAAGAAUCGUUUGUCAGAAAGCUCCAGGCUCAUCUCCGGAGCUUUUACAUUUUUAUCUCAGCAAGGAGCCUGUCCAACUUUACUUUCUCCAUCCCUCUUAUAUCCGAGGGCUUGGUUUCCUCAGCCAAUUUCCUGUCUGCUCAGGGGAGAUUUUCCUGAAAAGAGCCCACAGCCUUUCUACUGGUCAGCCAUGUUCCUGUUGCUCAUCUCAACACUGGGGAUAUUUGCCCUGCGAGACACCAGAGCUCAGUCAGUGACCCAGCCUGAUGUCCAUGUCACUGUCUCUGAAGGAGCCCGUCUGGAGCUGAGGUGCAACUAUUCCUCUAGUGUAAGUCCUUAUCUCUUCUGGUACAUGCAGCACCCCAGCCAAGGACUCCAGCUUCUCCUCAAGCACUUUUCAGGGUCAUUAGACACCCUGGUUCAAGGCAUCAAAGAUUUCGAGGCUGAAUUUAGGAAGAAUGAAAAGUCCUUCCACCUGAAGAAACUAGCAGUCCAAUGGAACGAUGCAGCCAAGUACUUCUGUGCUGUGAGUGACACAGUGCCUGGGACUGCAGGGGGAGCUGAGCACAAACCACCCAUGGUGACUCACUGUCGUCUGCUCAACCACAUUGCCUGCAGGGACUAUGGUGGGCACUUUAUGCACAUUAGUGUGAGAAGGAGAACUACCAAUUUCUUUGAUUCUGAACUCAAGCUGAGUGUGAAAAAAUGGGUUUUACACCAAGGACCCCAAGCAGUUGGGAGAUCAUACCCCCACCUCCCAAACCUUAACUUUGCCUGAGAAAUCCAAGUAGCCUGACUUCCUCCCUCCUUCCCUUUCUUCCUUAA